rnacentral:rRNA from 1 species
AGGGUGAAGAGGUCUCAGAGAAUCGGUGGCUGUAACUGUUUACUAAAAACACAGCGCUCUGCAAAGAUGAAAGUCGACGUAUAGGGCGUGAUGCCUGCCCGGUGCUGGAAGAUUAAUUGAUGGGGUGCAAGCUCCUGAUCGAAGUCCCAGUAAACGGCGGCCGUAACUAUAACGGUCCUAAGGUAGCGAAAUUCCUUGUCGGGCAAGUUCCGACCUGCACGAAUGGCAUAAUAAUGGCCACACUGUCUCCUCCCGAGACUCAGUGAAAUUGAAAUGUUUGUGAUGAUGCAAUCUCCCCGCGGCUAGACGGAAAGACCCCAUGAACCUUAACUGUAGCUUUGCAUUGGACUUUGAACCGAUCUGUGUAGGAUAGGCGGGAGGCUUUGAAGAAUGGACGCCAGUUCAUUCGGAGCCGUCGUUGAAAUACCGCCCUGAUUUGUUUGAGGUUCUAACCUGGGCCAGUGAUCCUGGCUGGGGACCGUGCAUGGUGGGCAGUUUGACUGGGGCGGUCUCCUCCUAAAGGGUAACGGAGGAGUGCGAAGGUACGCUAAUCACGGUCGGAAAUCGUGAGGAUACUGCAAUGGGAAAAGCGUGCCUGACUGCGAGACAGACAAGUCGAGCAGAUGCGAAAGCAGGUCAUAGUGAUCCGGUGGCUUCUGUAUGGAAGGGCCAUCGCUCAACGGAUAAAAGGUACUCUGGGGAUAACAGGCUGAUACCGCCCAAGAGUUCAUAUCGACGGCGGUGUUUGGCACCUCGAUGUCGGCUCAUCUCAUCCUGGGGCUGUAGUCGGUCCCAAGGGUAUGGCUGUUCGCCAUUUAAAGAGGUACGUGAGCUGGGUUUAAAACGUCGUGAGACAGUUUGGUCCCUAUCUACCGCGGGCGCUGGAAGAUUGACAGGGGCUGCUCCUAGUACGAGAGGACCGGAGUGGACGCACCUCUGGUGUAUCGGUUGUGACGCCAGUCGCAUUGCCGAGUAGCUAUGUGCGGAAGAGAUAACCGCUGAAAGCAUCUAAGCGGGAAACUUGCCUGAAGAUUAGUCUUCCCGGAGGCUUGACCUCCCUGAAGGGUCGUCCGAGACCAGGACGUUGAUAGGCCAGGUGUGGAAGCGCUGUGAGGCGUGAAGCUAACUGGUACUAAUUGCCCGUGCGGCUUGAUCCU